UACGGAGGGUGCAAGCGUUAUCCGGAUUCACUGGGUUUAAAGGGUGCGUAGGCGGGCAGGUAAGUCAGGGGUGAAAUCUUCGAGCUUAACUCGGAAACUGCCUUUGAUACUAUCUGUCUUGAAUAUGGUGGAGGUAAGCGGAAUAUGUCAUGUAGCGGUGAAAUGCUUAGAGAUGACAUAGAACACCCAUUGCGAAGGCAGCUCACUACCCGAAUAUUGACUCUGAGGCACGAAAGCGUGGGGAUCAAACAGG
rnacentral:rRNA from 1 species